UACAGAGGUCCCAAGCGUUGUUCGGAUUUACUGGGCGUAAAGGGCGCGUAGGCGGCGCAACAAGUCACUUGUGAAAUCUCCGGGCUUAACCCGGAGCGGCCAAGUGAUACUGUCGUGCUAGAGUGCGGAAGGGGCUACUGGAAUUCUCGGUGUAGCGGUGAAAUGCGUAGAUAUCGAGAGGAACACCUGCGGCGAAGGCGGGUAGCUGGGCCGACACUGACGCUGAGGCGCGAAAGCCAGGGGAGCAAACGGG
rnacentral:rRNA from 1 species